GAUGAGGUUUCUUUUGAGGUUCCCUCUAGACUAGGGGGUUGAUAGGCCAGAUCUGGAAGCGUAGUAAUGCGUUAAGGUGACUGGUACUAAUUUUACCGAGUAAUAACAGUGU
rnacentral:rRNA from 1 species